rnacentral:rRNA from 1 species
UACGUAGGGCGCAAGCGUUGUCCGGAAUCAUUGGGCGUAAAGCGCGCGUAGGUGGUCCCGUAAGUCCGCUGUGAAAGUCAAAGGCUCAACCUUUGAAAGCCGGUGGAUACUGUGGGACUAGAGUACGGAAGAGGCGAGUGGAAUUCCUGGUGUAGCGGUGGAAUGCGCAGAUACCAGGAGGAACACCAAUAGCGAAGGCAGCUCGCUGGGACGUUACUGACACUGAGGCGCGAAAGCGUGGGGAGCGAACAGG